rnacentral:rRNA from 1 species
UUGACCUCAAAUCAGGUAGGACUACCCGCUGAACUUAAGCAUAUCAAUAAGCGGAGGAAAAGAAACUAACAAGGAUUCCCCUAGUAACUGCGAGUGAAGCGGGAUGAGCUCAAAUUUUGAAUCUGGCGGUCUUCAGGCCGUCCGAGUUGUAAUCUAGAGAAGCGUCUUCCGCGCUGGACCGUGUACAAGUCUCCUGGAAGGGAGCGUCGUAGAGGGUGAGAAUCCCGUCUUUGACACGGACUGCCAGUGCUAUGUGAUGCGCUCUCGACGAGUCGAGUUGUUUGGGAAUGCAGCUCAAAUCGGGUGGUAAACUCCAUCUAAAGCUAAAUAUUGGCGAGAGACCGAUAGCGAACAAGUACCGUGAGGGAAAGAUGAAAAGAACUUUGGAAAGAGAGUUAAACAGUACGUGAAAUUGCUGAAAGGGAAACGCUUGAGGUCAGUCGCGUCGGACGGGGAUCAACCUUGCUUCUCGCUCGGUGUACUUCCUGCUCGACGGGUCAGCAUCAGUUUCGGUCGCCGUACAAGGGUCGAGGGAAUGUGGCACUCCUCGGAGUGUGUUAUAGCCUUCGGUCGCAUGCGGUGGUUGGGACUGAGGAACUCAGCACGACCCCUCGAGGGUUCGGGGCCACGGCCUACGUUAACGUGCUUAGGAUGCUGGCAUAAUGGCCUUAAGCGACCCGUC